UGAGGAAUAUUGGUCAAUGGGCGAGAGCCUGAACCAGCCAAGUAGCGUGCAGGAAGACGGCCCUAUGGGUUGUAAACUGCUUUUAUGCGGGGAUAAAGUGAGGGACGUGUCCUUCAUUGCAGGUACCGCAUGAAUAAGGACCGGCUAAUUCCGUGCCAGCAGCCGCGGUAAUACGGAAGGUCCAGGCGUUAUCCGGAUUUAUUGGGUUUAAAGGGAGCGUAGGCCGUGGAUUAAGCGUGUUGUGAAAUGCAGGUGCUCAACGUCUGCACUGCAGCGCGAACUGGUCCACUAGAGUGUGCACAACGCAGGCGGAAUUCGUCGUGUAGCGGUGAAAUGCUUAGAUAUGACGAAGAACUCCGAUUGCGAAGGCAGCUUGCGGGAGCACAACUGACGCUGAAGCUCGAAAGUGCGGGUAUCGAACAGGAUUAGAUACCCUGGUAGUCCGCACGGUAAACGAUGGAUGCCCGUUGUCAGGCUGUUUCAGCCUGGUGACCAAGCGAAAGCAUUAAGCAUCCCACCUGGGGAGUACGCCGGCAACGGUG
rnacentral:rRNA from 1 species